UACAGAGGUCCCAAGCGUUGUUCGGAUUUACUGGGCGUAAAGGGUGCGUAGGCGGUCGGGUAAGUCUGACGUGAAAUCUUCAAGCUUAACUUGGAACGUGCGUCGGAUACUAUUCGGCUCGAGGAAUGGAGGGGAGACUGGAAUACUUGGUGUAGCAGUGAAAUGCGUAGAUAUCAAGUGGAACACCAGUGGCGAAGGCGAGUCUCUGGACAUUUCCUGACGCUGAGGCACGAAAGCCAGGGGAGCAAACAGG
rnacentral:rRNA from 1 species